AUUUAUACAAAAGAAGCUUUGAACAUCAAGAAUGUCAAGCCAUUAAUUCUCAUCUUCAGCCAAUUGAGUGGGGGUGAAACAGAAAAGAAAACCACAUUGGAUCAAGCAUUCAGAGGUGUUCUGGAAGAAAAAAUUUUAGAACAAGGAGAAUGUGAAGAUUUCUUGGCUAUAAUCUCUCUCAGCAUUAAUGGAGUCACAGAAGGUAUCUGUUCUGCAACAACACCCUUUCUACUGCUUGGUGAUGUGCUUGAUUGCCUUCCUCUGGACCAGUGUGACAGAAUAUUUACUUUUGUUGAGAAAAAUGUAGGAACUUGGAAAUCUGUAAGUA